CAAAAGGCUCUUUUCAGAGCCAUCUACCUAUUCCUGAAGGGGCAA
rfam:Scleropages formosus scaffold976, whole genome shotgun sequence.